rnacentral:rRNA from 1 species
UACGAAGGGGGCUAGCGUUGUUCGGAAUUACUGGGCGUAAAGCGCGCGUAGGCGGAUAUUUAAGUCGGGGGUGAAAUCCCGGGGCUCAACCCCGGAACUGCCUUCGAUACUGGGUAUCUUGAGUUCGGAAGAGGUGAGUGGAAUUGCGAGUGUAGAGGUGAAAUUCGUAGAUAUUCGCAAGAACACCAGUGGCGAAGGCGGCUCACUGGCCCGGUACUGACGCUGAGGUGCGAAAGCGUGGGGAGCGAACAGG